AGUGAACGCUGGCGGCAGGCCUAACACAUGCAAGUCGAGCGGCAGCGCGGGGGCAACCCUGGCGGCGAGCGGCGGACGGGUGAGGAAUUCGUCGGAAUCUGCCUUUUCGUGGGGGAUAACGUAGGGAAACUUACGCUAAUACCGCAUACGUCCUACGGGAGAAAGUGGGGGACCGCAAGGCCUCACGCAGAAAGAUGAGCCGACGACCGAUUAGCUAGUUGGUGGGGUAAAGGCCCACCAAGGCGACGAUCGGUAGCUGGUCUGAGAGGAUGAUCAGCCACACUGGGACUGAGACACGGCCCAGACUCCUACGGGAGGCAGCAGUGGGGAAUAUUGGACAAUGGGCGAAAGCCUGAUCCAGCCAUGCCGCGUGUGUGAAGAAGGCGUUCGGAUUGUAAAGCACUUUUGUCCGGAAAGAAGUCCCUGGAGCUAAUACCUUCGGGUGAUGACGGUACCGGAAGAAUAAGCACCGGCUAACUUCGUG
rnacentral:rRNA from 1 species